rnacentral:rRNA from 1 species
AAUGAACGCUGGCGGCGUGCCUAAUACAUGCAAGUCGAGCGAACAGACAGUGAGCUUUCUCCUCUGACGUUAGCGGCUGACGGAUGAGUAACACAUACAUAACCUACCUAUAAUACUGGGAUAACUUCGGGGAACCGGAGCUAAUACCGGAUAAUAUAUUCAACCGCUUAGUUCAAUAGUUAAACGCAGUUUUCCUGUCACUUAUAGAUGAAGCCGCGCCGGAUUAGCUAGUUGGUAAGGUAAAGGCCCACCAAGGCGACGAUCCGUAGCUGAUCUGAGAGGAUGAUCAGCCACACUGGAACUGAGACACGGUCCAGACUCCUACGGGAGGCAGCAGUGGGGAAUAUUGGACAAUGGGCGCAAGCCUGAUCCAGCCAUACCGCGUGGGUGAAGAAGGCCUUCGGGUUGUAAAGCCCUUUUGUUGGGAAAGAAAAGCAGCAGGUUAAUACCCCGCUGUUCUGACGGUACCCAAAGAAUAAGCACCGGCUAACUUCGUG